GCCGCCUCCUCCCUACAGCCAGGGUGGUGCUCCAGAGCCUCUCCCCAGAGUACGCCCACUAGCUGAAUUUUGUCACUCUAAGUGUUAAAUAAGUGAGUAAAUAAAUAAAUAACAUUAAGGGAAAAGGACAUCCCUUCCUAAACAUCAAGACUUUGCAUAAGCUGAAUAGGGCAAGAGUGCAAUCAACAGUUAUCUUAAAAGUGAAUCUUCUUUUCAUCCACCUCUCAUUUUUCCCUUAAAUGAGGAAACACAUUGGCCUAGCAAGGAUAGUAUUUGUGCCUUGAGGAUAGCAGUUAUAGAAUAGAUCCAUCUAAGAUACGGUAUUCUGCAUUUUGUUGCUUUAUUUAUUUUUUUAGAGAGGGUAAUACCAGUCUUCAAAGAAAAUGAGGUGAAGACGAUUGCUUCAGUAAUAACAUCUAUGUUUUGAGAUGGGUGUGUGGUCAAGUGUGCUUUUAGGGUUUUCUGUAUUUAGGAGAUCCAGAAUUCUUGAUUUUUGGCCAACUUUCAGGCAAGUAAAAAUCUGGGAAGCCUGUAAAUUUUUCUAAGUUUACCCAAAAAAAUGCUCUGUUCCUUCUUUGGCACAUGCUUAUGCUGCUGGAGGCUAAAUCCUCAAUAAAACCUAAGGAGGAGACUAAUAAUUCAUUAAAAUAAAUCAGUGGUGUUGCUACUAAUUCUGAUCCCGUAGAAUUGUUGAUAUGGAUAAAUAGCAUAUCCUGGGCAGAUGAACUCAACCUGAGAUUAAAGUAUGCUUUGGUCACAGUUGCCUACGAAUAUGGGUUUCAAAGCAAACAUAAAGCCUUAACUUAGAAUUUCAUUAUGUUUUAGAAUCAUCACUGCCUUAAUGUUCAAACAUUUAAUUUAAGUUCUCCUAGCAAAGGAGAAAUGCAUGUUUGUUUAUGGCUUUUUGUAAAUAUAUAUGCAGUGAUCUAUGGCUUUACAAAUUGUGUGUGUGUGUGUGUGUUUCUGUGUGUGUCUGUGACA